CCCACCCACCCCAAAUCCUAUAAAUACGGCAAAAGCAGGCAAAUUACGCAGUGGAAAACAACAAGUGCAAACGACUUACGGAAGCUGACAUUCGACGUACGAAAGCAAUCAUGGUUCUCUACCUGAAUGACCUGUCCAAGAUUGAACUUCGUGACAACAAACGCCGUCUGAAGAACGUGAUGUGGGAGCUGGAGACACGGCAGAGCCGCCUGGACGACAUGAUGGAUAGGGUGGAAACUCUCAACGCCAAGAUGACAGUAGCCGAACAGAGACGUCGACGAUCAAAGAAGAGGUUACAGUAACAGCGAAGUGCGGAGUAGAUAUAUGCUGGACGAAUUGGAUAAGUAUACGCUGGAUAAAGAAGAGGAACGAAGUUUUAUUUAUAAAACGAUGUAAUGAGAGUACUGAAGCUGUGACAUUUCAUACUAUAACAUAGACUCUAAAAGAUUUGAUGGCAAGAAGACGAUGUUAUCUUGUAACAUCAUAGGGUUGUCUGUGAUGUCAGUCGUUACAUAUUACUAUUAAUAUUACUUGUUUUACUGUGAGAGAAAUGAAAGUGAAUAUUUGUGUGAAAAUAACGCCAAAUUUUUGAUGACGUAACUAACUAUAACCACGGUUGCAAGAUAUGUUGUUUAAAAUUGAAAUACAAAGUAAAAUAUAAUGAAAUUGAAUAAAAAUAAAGUUCUUUUGUUUAA